GACGAACCGUCCAAGCGUUAUUCGGAAUCACUGGGCUUAAAGGGCGCGUAGGCGGCCGAGCGGGUCACGGGUGAAAUCCUCCAGCUUAACUGGAGAACUGCCCUUGAUACCACUGCGGCUCGAGGGAGACAGGGGUAAGCGGAACUGAUGGUGGAGCGGUGAAAUGCGUUGAUAUCAGCAGGAACACCGGUGGCGAAAGCGGCUUACUGGGUCGCUUCUGACGCUGAGGUACGAAAGCGAGGGUAGCGAACGGG
rnacentral:rRNA from 1 species